rnacentral:rRNA from 1 species
GACAGAGGUGGCAAGCGUUGUUCGGAUUCAUUGGGUGUAAAGGGCAGGUAGGCUGUUUUGCAAGUCUGACGUGAAAUCCCAGGGCUCAACCCUGGAACUGCGUUGGAAACUGCAUGACUUGAGUAUCGGAGAGGUUAGGGGAACUCUCGGUGUAAGGGUGAAAUCUGUAGAUAUCGAGAGGAACACCAGUGGCGAAGGCGCCUAACGUCGGCCGAUUACUGGACGUGAGCUGCGAAAGCAAGGG